ACACUAACUGGAGGACCGAACCGACUAAUGUUGAAAAAUUAGCGGAUGACCUGUGGCUGGGGGUGAAAGGCCAAUCAAACCGGGAGAUAGCUGGUUCUCCCCGAAAGCUAUUUAGGUAGCGCCUCGUGAAUUCAUCUCCGGGGGUAGAGCACUGUUUCGGCUAGGGGGCCAUCCCGGCUUACCAACCCGAUGCAAACUGCGAAUACCGGAGAAUGUUAUCACGGGAGACACACGGCGGGUGCUAACGUCCGUCGUGAAGAGGGAAACAACCCAGACCGCCAGCUAAGGUCCCAAAGUCAUGGUUAAGUGGGAAACGAUGUGGGAAGGCCCAGACAGCCAGGAUGUUGGCUUAGAAGCAGCCAUCAUUUAAAGAAAGCGUAAUAGCUCACUGGUCGAGUCGGCCUGCGCGGAAGAUGUAACGGGGCUAAACCAUGCACCGAAGCUGCGGCAGCGACGCUUAUGCGUUGUUGGGUAGGGGAGCGUUCUGUAAGCCUGUGAAGGUGGCCUGUGAGGG
rnacentral:rRNA from 1 species